UACGUAGGGUGCGAGCGUUAAUCGGAAUUACUGGGCGUAAAGCGUGCGCAGGCGGUUCGUCAUGUCUGAUGUGAAAGCCCCGGGCUCAACCUGGGAAUGGCAUUGGAAACUAGCGGGCUGGGAUGUGGCAGAGGGGGGUGGAAUUCCACGUGUAGCAGUGAAAUGCGUAGAGAUGUGGAGGAACACCGAUGGCGAAGGCAGCCCCCUGGGCUAACACUGACGCUCAUGCACGAAAGCGUGGGGAGCAAACAGG
rnacentral:rRNA from 1 species